GACGAACGCUGGCGGCGUGCUUAACACAUGCAAGUCGAACGAAGUUGCGAACGGGUUAGUAAAUCUUAAUCAACCUGCCCUUCAGAGGGGGACAACCGUUGGAAACGACUGCUAAUACCGCAUACUUAAGGAGGGGAUUGCGUCUGAUUAGGUAGUUGGAGGGGUCACGGCCUACCAAGGCGAUGAUCAGUAGCCGGUCGGGGAGGAUGAACGGGCACAUUGGGACUGAGACACGGCCCAGACUCCUAAGGGAGGCAGGAGUGGGGAAUCAUCCGAAAUGGAGGAAAGUCUGACGGAGCAAAGCCGCGUGAGUGAUGACGGCCUUCGGGUUGUAAAGCUCUGUUAAUCGGGAAGCGGUACCGGAAGAGAAAGCCACGGCUAACUACGUGCCAGCAGCCGCGGUAAUAC
rnacentral:rRNA from 1 species